rnacentral:lncRNA from 1 species
UUUAUUUGUUUUGUUUUCUUUGUUUUGUUUUCAUUUUUUCUCUAUUUUAGUUUUUGUUUGCUUUCUUAAAAAAAAAAUUGCAUGCUUUUUCCUUUGGUUUUUGAGUUACAAUUAUGAGUAUUUUUCUUAGUUCUCUUGACUAAAGUUUUGUGGUGUGAUGUGAAAAAUUUGUUGUGUAUUUUUAGUAUGAUAGAAAUGACUAAACUCUAAAUUGUACAUCAUUUGUGGUAGAUCAAUUAAACUUGUGAGAUUUUGAGCCUUAU